rnacentral:sRNA from 1 species
GGACAAGGAGAGAGUGCGGCUGCUGAGAGCCGAGCCCAGCAAUCCCGAUCCUCUGAGUCGUGAAGAAGGGAGGCAGCGAGGGGGUUGGGGUUGGGGCCUGAGGCAAGCCCCCAGGCUCCGCUCUUGCCAGAGGGACAGGAGCCAUGGCUCAGAAAAUGGACUGUGGUGCGGGCCUCCUCGGCUUCCAGGCUGAGGCCUCCGUAGAAGACAGCGCCUUGCUUAUGCAGACCUUGAUGGAGGCCAUCCAGAUCUCAGAGGCUCCACCUACUAACCAGGCCACCACAGCUGCUAGUCCCCAGAGUUCACAGCCCCCAACUGCCAAUGAGAUGGCUGACAUUCAGGUUUCAGCAGCUGCCGCUAGGCCUAAGUCAGCCUUUAAAGUCCAGAAUGCCACCACAAAAGGCCCAAAUGGUGUCUAUGAUUUCUCUCAGGCUCAUAAUGCCAAGGAUGUGCCCAACACGCAGCCCAAGGCAGCCUUUAAGUCCCAAAAUGCUACCCCAAAGGGUCCAAAUGCUGCCUAUGAUUUUUCCCAGGCAGCAACCACUGGUGAGUUAGCUGCUAACAAGUCUGAGAUGGCCUUCAAGGCCCAGAAUGCCACUACUAAAGUGGGCCCAAAUGCCACCUACAAUUUCUCUCAGUCUCUCAAUGCCAAUGACCUGGCCAACAGCAGGCCUAAGACCCCUUUCAAGGCUUGGAAUGAUACCACUAAGGCCCCAACAGCUGAUACCCAGACCCAGAAUGUAAAUCAGGCCAAAAUGUCCACUUCCCAGGCUGACAUAGAGACCGACCCAGGUAUCUCUGAACCUGACGGUGCAACUGCACAGACAUCAGCAGAUGGUUCCCAGGCUCAGAAUCUGGAGUCCCGGACAAUAAUUCGGGGCAAGAGGACCCGCAAGAUUAAUAACUUGAAUGUUGAAGAGAACAGCAGUGGGGAUCAGAGGCGGGCCCCACUGGCUGCAGGGACCUGGAGGUCUGCACCAGUUCCAGUGACCACUCAGAACCCACCUGGCGCACCCCCCAAUGUGCUCUGGCAGACGCCAUUGGCUUGGCAGAACCCCUCAGGCUGGCAAAACCAGACAGCCAGGCAGACCCCACCAGCACGUCAGAGCCCUCCAGCUAGGCAGACCCCACCAGCCUGGCAGAACCCAGUCGCUUGGCAGAACCCAGUGAUUUGGCCAAACCCAGUAAUCUGGCAGAACCCAGUGAUCUGGCCAAACCCCAUUGUCUGGCCCGGCCCUGUUGUCUGGCCGAAUCCACUGGCCUGGCAGAAUCCACCUGGAUGGCAGACCCCACCUGGAUGGCAGACCCCACCGGGCUGGCAGGGUCCUCCAGACUGGCAAGGUCCUCCUGACUGGCCGCUACCACCCGACUGGCCACUGCCACCUGAUUGGCCACUUCCCACUGACUGGCCACUACCACCUGACUGGAUCCCCGCUGAUUGGCCAAUUCCACCUGACUGGCAGAACCUGCGCCCCUCGCCUAACCUGCGCCCUUCUCCCAACUCGCGUGCCUCACAGAACCCGGGUGCUGCACAGCCCCGAGAUGUGGCCCUUCUUCAGGAAAGAGUAAGAGCUGUAACUCCCCAGUCACUUUUCCCCUCUCUUGCUCUUUUCUUUGUCAUCCUCUCAUCUGUAAUUCAACCAAGUUUUUUUGUAAAUAUUGUAUAAGUUUAAUGAUUUCCUUUUUCCCUCCCAGGCAAAUAAGUUGGUCAAGUACUUGAUGCUUAAGGACUACACAAAGGUGCCCAUCAAGCGCUCAGGUAUGCAUCCAGUGUCCCCUCCCCAAGCUCUGCCCUUCCCUUCACUCCAUGCUCUGUCGGCAUUCUUCUGCUUGUAUGACCCUUCCCCUUCUAUCCCCUCCUUUCCAUGGUUGGCUCUUUCCACCCUUGAGGACCUUGACUGUGCUACCCCCAGCAGGGCUGGCAAAGGGACUGCUGCUCUGUGGCCCCCGCUCGGCUCAGAUGGCUCCCUCCUCUCUCCUACAGAAAUGCUGAGAGAUAUCAUCCGUGAAUACACUGAUGUUUAUCCAGAAAUCAUUGAACGUGCAUGCUUUGUCCUAGAGAAGAAAUUUGGGAUUCAGCUGAAAGAAAUUGACAAAGAAGAACACCUGUAUAUUCUCAUCAGUACCCCCGAGUCCCUGGCUGGCAUACUGGGAACGUAAGAUGGGAAAGAAGGUGGAACAUGGCCUUUCUCAGUGGUGCUUUUUUUCUAGGAGUUUCACGUAGAUCAGGGUCCAGGGUUCAGGGUCACAUAGCAGGUCAUGGGCAGAGCUGGGGUAUAAUUCUCCCCUAGCUGAGGAAUAUUGGGGAGGCUAGAUGGGCAAGCUGGUUGGGGUCUCUCGUGCAAAUGGCUGCUGAAAAUAUAUUCUUUCUAUAUUCCCUUAGGACCAAAGACACACCCAAGCUCGGUCUCCUCUUGGUGAUUCUGGGUGUCAUCUUCAUGAAUGGCAACCGUGCCAGUGAGGGUGAGUGGCUGGACCUGCAGCUGGGGAUUGGCCACAGCCUGAUUUCCAUGCUUAUUUUCCGUCCCUUGUCUCCCCUUGCCUCCCAUUGCAGCUGUCCUCUGGGAGGCACUACGCAAGAUGGGACUGCGUCCUGGGUAUGAUUGGGCUCUCUCAUCUCUUGCCUGUUUGUACCAUCCUUUGGCAACAGUGGAUGGUCCCAGGAUUGCAUUAACCUGGGGGUCUGGAGGGUUUGGUUUGGGGAUGUUCAGAGCCCAAAGAUGUGACCUGGGUGGAUGGGGAAACAGUUCUGAACUCUCUGCCUCUUUUCUCAUCUCUGACCUCUGUUCUGGAAAGCUCUUUGGGCAUGGUAAUAGCCUCUGAUUGUGGGUUUCCUUUUUUUACCUUCAGGGUGAGACAUCCCCUCCUUGGAGAUCUAAGGAAACUUCUCACCUAUGAGUUUGUAAAGCAGAAGUAAGUGAUGCCUAAGGGGCUUUUCCUGCUUCUUAUGAUUCUGCCUGUGUGCUGGUCAGCUUUAGAAAGCCCUUCCUGGCUGGAUACAAUGGCUCAUGCCUGUAAUCCCAGUACUUUGGGAGGCUCAGGUGGGCAGAUCGCUUGAGCCCAGGAGUUCAAGACCAGCCUGGGCAACAUAACGAAACCCCAUCUCUACAAAAAAAUACAAAAAUUAGCCAGGCGUGGUGACAUGCACCUGUAGUCCCAGCUACUUGGGAGGCUGAGGUAGGGGAGAAUCAUCUGAGCCCAGGAAGUUGAGGCUGCAGUGAGCUGUGAUCAUGCCACUGCACUCCAACCUGGGCAACAGAGUGAGACCCUGUCUCAAAAAAAAUAAAAGAAAGCCCUUCUCAAGCUCGUUUCUUACACUAUACUUGUGCAUAUGUGUUUCUGUGCAUACAGAAACACUUAUGUCCUCAGGAGUAUUUAUUGCAUAUACUCCUCAUGAUUAAAUUCUUUAUUUUUUAUUUUUUUAUUUUUUGAGACGGAGUUUCGCUCUUGUUGCCCAGGCUGGAGUGCAAUGGCGUGAUCUCGGCUCACCGCAACCUCUGCCUCCUGGGUUCAAGCUAUUCUCCUGCCUCAGCCUCUUGAGUAGCUGGGAUUACAGGCAUGUGCCACCACGCCCACCUAAUUUUGUCUUCUUAGUAGAGACGGUGUUUCUCCAUGUUAGGCUGGUCUCAAACUCCCGACUUCAGGUGAUCUGCCUGCCUUGGCCUCCAGAAGUGCUGAGAUUACAGGCGUGAGCCACCGUACCGGGCGAAUUCUUUUGUUUGUUUUUUUCGAGACUGAGUCUCACUCUGUUGCCCAUGCUGGAGUGCAGUGGUGCAAUCUUGGCUCGCUUGAACUUCCACCUCCCAGGUUCAAGCAAUUCUUGUGCCUCAGCCUCCCGAGUAACUGGGACUUCAGGUGCGUGCCACCGUGCCCGGCUGUUUUUGUAUUUUUAGUAGAGAUGGGGCUUCACCACGUUGGCCAGGCUGGUCUCAAACUCCUGACCUGAAGCAAUCCACCCACCUCUGCCUCCCAAAGUGCUGGGAUUACAGGUGUGAGCCACCACACCCGGCCAGAAUUUUUCUAAUUUUUCUACUUUUCUAAGCAGUUGUCUUGCAAGUGAAGCCCAUCCACCAUCCCCACAGUAGACAUUCCCAAGGCUGGGCCAGGCUGACACUUUUGCACUGCAUUGUACUCAUUUCAGUGGACCUCUGUGGCUCACUGACAAGAUUACAAGAAUCUGGAGCUAGAGCUGAGGCAGAAGGAGUGAAAGGAAAUGUUGUCCUUUCUGUGACCCUAUACAAGCCUCGCCUGCAUCUCUAGUGAGUGCUUAGCGUUCUAGUGCAGGAAUUUAAGGCUUGAUGAUUAAGGGGUAAAUACCCUGAUGGUGUUCAGGAAUGAGCCCGAGGAGGAGUUGCUAUCUGAAAUCUGUUGUUAAAAAAUGUAAGAUUAUUUUUCAUUAGUGGACUACCAUUCUGCCUGGGUAGGUAGACACAAAGACUGUUUUGCUCUUUCAGAUACCUGGACUACAGACGAGUGCCCAACAGCAACCCCCCGGAGUAUGAGUUCCUCUGGGGCCUCCGUUCCUACCAUGAGACUAGCAAGAUGAAAGUGCUGAGAUUCAUUGCAGAGGUUCAGAAAAGAGACCCUCGUGACUGGACUGCACAGUUCAUGGAGGCUGCAGAUGAGGCCUUGGAUGCUCUGGAUGCUGCUGCAGCUGAGGCCGAAGCCCGGGCUGAAGCAAGAACCCGCAUGGGAAUUGGAGAUGAGGCUGUGUCUGGGCCCUGGAGCUGGGAUGACAUUGAGUUUGAGCUGCUGACCUGGGAUGAGGAAGGAGAUUUUGGAGAUCCCUGGUCCAGAAUUCCAUUUACCUUCUGGGCCAGAUACCACCAGAAUGCCCGCUCCAGAUUCCCUCAGACCUUUGCCGGUCCCAUUAUUGGUCCUGGUGGUACAGCCAGUGCCAACUUCGCUGCCAACUUUGGUGCCAUUGGUUUCUUCUGGGUUGAGUGAGAUGUUGGGUAGGUACAUCACUUUGGAUUGGGCAAUUAGGGUCUCUGGGGGAUAUAGGGUCCAUGGGGUUGUAUUUAUGUGCAUGAGCUAGAAGUAUUAGGAAACUCAUUGUAGGGAGAUGAGGAAAGUAUGGGGCAGCACUCUUUGGUAUGUAUAUUCCUUAUUAUUUGAUAUAUAUCAUUGAUUUUUUUACUUCUUCUUUCUUAUGUUCACAGAUAUUGCUAUCAAUCGCAGUAGUCUUUCCCCUGUGUGAGGCUGAAGCCUCAGAUUCCUUCUAAACACAGCUAUCUAGAGAGCCACAUCCUGUUGACUGAAAGUGGCAUGCAAGAUAAAUUUAUUUGCUGUUCCUUGUCUACUGCUUUUUUUCCCCUUGUGUGCUGUCAAGUUUUGGUAUCAGAAAUAAACAUUGAAAUUGCAAAGUGAA